rnacentral:lncRNA from 1 species
GGAAGAGGACAAAUGGGACAGACAAGGUCUCACGACAUUUCAGAAUUGCAGCUGGAAGGAUGGCUCAUGUUGGAACCUGGCAGGUGCUGCCCUGUGUGCCACAGCAACCAACUGGUCUGGAAAGGAAGCUGAAGAACGAUGGACGGGGAUGAGACUCACACUUCAUCUACAGGAUUGUCAGCGCAUACAGUGAAAACAGGAAGA